GCUCCUUUGGCAGACAAGUGCGUUAGAUUUAGAAUCUAUUAAUGUGAAUUUUAAUUUACAAGUAGUA
rnacentral:tRNA from 1 species